rnacentral:rRNA from 1 species
AGCAGCCGCGGUAAUUCCAGCUCCAAUAGCGUAUAUUAAAGUUGUUGCAGUUAAAAAGCUCGUAGUUGAAUUUCGGGAUUUAUCCGUCGGUCGGGCUUUCGGGUUUGUACUGGCGUGAUGGAUUCCUACCUUCUGAAUAACCGGCAUGUCAUUAAUUUGGUGCGCCGGGGAAGCAGGACUGUUACCUUGAAAAAUUAGAGUGCUUAAAGCAGGCUUAUGCCUGAAUACAUUAGCAUGGAAUAAUGAAAUAGAACGGCAUGGUUCUAUUUUGUUGGUUUCUAGGAUCACCGUAAUGAUUAAUAGGGAUAGUUGGGGGCAUUAGUAUUCAAUUGUCAGAGGUGAAAUUCUUGGAUUUUAUUGAAGACUAACUUCUGCGAAAGCAUUUGCCAAGGAUGUUUUCAUUAAUCAAGAACG